GGAAGGAUCAUUAAAAAAAAUGAGGUAUUUUAUACCUCUUGUAUUUAAAACCAACUCUUUUUUUAAAAUAUAAAAUUUUUUUAAAAAAAUAAAAACUUUCAACAAUGGAUCUCUUGGCUCUUGCAUCGAUGAAGAACGCAGCGAAAUGCGAUAAGUAAUAUGAAUUGCAGAAUUCCGUGAAUCAUCAAAUUUUUGAACGCAAAUUGCACUUCUUGGUAUUCCGAGAAGUACACAUGCUUGAGGGUCAGUUAAAAAAAAUCGUACAUCACUGAUGUUGCGAAUCUGGGUAUUCCGAUUUUAUAAAUUGGUUAUCUAAAAUUAAUAUAAAAUAUGUAAUGUGAAGCGUACUAAUCUAUGUAGUCACUAAUCAUUUAUACUUAUUACAUUGUAGCUAAAGUAUUAUUUAGUUGGGGUGUAUAAAUUAUGAAAAUGACCUCAAGUCAUGUGAGAGUACCCGCUGAACUUAAGCAUAUCAAUAAGCGGAGGAAAAGAAACUAACAAGGAUUCCCCUAGUAACGGCGAGUGAAGCGGGAAGAGCACAAAUUUUAAAUCUACCUGGUUUCCAGGUUGAGUUGUAAUUUGAGGAUACGUUUUUGAUAUUCCUGGUUGGACUAAAUCCUUUGGGAUAAGGUAUCAUAGAGGGUGAGAAUCCCGUGUAUACCAACCACAGGGAUGUUAUUUAAUAACGUUUCUAAGAGUCGAGUUGUUUGGGAAUGCAGCUCUAAAUGGGUGGUAAAUUUCACCUAAUGCUAAAUAUAAGCGAGAGACCGAUAGCGAACAAGUACAGUGAUGGAAAGAUGAAAAGAACUUUGAAAAGAGAGUUAAAUAGUACGUGAAAUUGUUGAAAGGGAAACGAUUAAAGUCAGUCAUGCCGGUGGGAAUCAACUUAGAGGAAACUCUAGGUGCACUUCUUCGCUUGGCAGGUUAGUGUCGAUUUUGGAUGUCAUAAAAUAACUGGGGGAAGGUAGCUCCCUUGGGAGUGUUAUAGCCCUUGGUAGAUGUGAUGUCUGGGAUCGAGGAUUGCAACGGAUACCCUUUGGGGCUAGUCACCUGAUCUCUAAUUAGUGUUGGAUUACGGACAGCAUGCUGACCGUGAUUUAAUUAUUGGUUAAAAGGUUAGAGUGUACAUAAAUUCGUUAAGGACACUGACGUAAUGGCUUUAAACGACCCGUCUUGAAACACGGACCAAGGAGUCUAACAUGUAUGCGAGUGUUAGGGUAUUAAACCCAGACGCGAAAUUAAAGUGAGUGUAGGUGGGAUCCUUUAUUGGAGCACCAUCGACCGAUCUUGAGAUUUAUCGAUAGAAUUGAGUUAGAGCAUACCUGUUGGGACCCGAAAGAUGGUGAACUAUGCCUGAAUAGAGCGAAGCCAGAGGAAACUCUGGUGGAGGCUCGUAGCGGUUCUGACGUGCAAAUCGAUCGUCAAAUUUGGGUAUAGGGGCGAAAGACUAAUCGAACCAUCUAGUAGCUGGUUCCUGC
rnacentral:misc_RNA from 1 species